GUACGAAAAUAAAAUAUCUAAUCGAGGCAAUUGGUAACACUGAUGAUGGCAACCCUAAUCAAAAUACAGAAAUGAAGUGCUGAAAAUAUAUUUUUUCAAAUUAUAUAAAAUGAAAAAAGUAUCUAAAUUUGAUUUACUGAGAUUCCCUCUUCUUUUUGGGACCAUGCUGUCCAUAUUAGGAGUUGGUUUCUUGUACAGAGAAAAAUGGAUGGGAAACAUUGAAAUGGAAAGGAGUAAACUCUAUAAGCAAAAUGUUGAACCAGACACUUUUUUAGAAGAAUUGAAGAAGAUGCAUAAGCAGAAGUGAUUUUUGAAUUAGGUACCUAUAACUCUUUAAAAUUAAAAUAUCUAUAUUGUUUAUAUUAUUACAACUUCAAUACAAAUGAAGCAGCUUUAGAAUUCACUAGUUGUUACUAUUUAUUAUGAGAUUUUUACACUAUAAAUGGUUUUACAUAAACUGCUAUAUGUGUUUGGCUCUACAAUAGUUUCCUAGGUUUCAUUAAAUAAUGUUGAAUAAAAUUUUGGACUCAUUA